ensembl:lncRNA
UGUAUAAACACAAAAUACAUUCAUACAUUUUCAAUAUACACAUAAUUUUUGAAGAAUUAGAAUUUAGAAUGGUGCUGUUCCUCACAACAUUUCAUAUCACUUUCAUUGGUUAAAACUGGUAUCAUUUUAAGUGUUUAGAAUAAAAUUCACUCAUAUCUGCUCAUUCUUAUUUUUGAAAAGUGAUCUGAGAAUGGCCUGGAUUAAUUCUUAAUCCUUUCAAAGCUUAACCUAAGAUCUACAUGUCCAGCACUUUUCAUGAAGUUUAAAUAGGGGAGGAAACUUUGUCUAAUUUGGUGUAUUCCUCUAGUUCUAGUUUCUAAAAAUAAAAUGACUGGAAGCCAUCCGUGCAAGAUACGGUAACUCAGGCUCUGUAACCUUGCAUGAUCUGCAAAUGGAAGAGAAUUAAUUUUUGUGGCAAUUUGUAGUAAAGAAAGGAGAGAGAAAAUUUUCUCUACUGUCAUUAGCUGAUUUAAAAAGAGUUGACUUUUUAUUCUUUCUGCAGAAAAUCUUCAGACACAAAAAAAUCUGGAAUAUAUUCAAAGUUCUUCUGCCUAAAUAAAUUCAACCUAAAUCUUUUGAGGUUACUUUAUUACAAAGGGUGAGGCCUGAAUUUCAACGUGAGGUGAAAACCUUUGAAGAUCCAUCAGAUCUCCAGAGGAGUACUACAGGAUUUGCAAAAGGGAGCUCAGAGAAAUACAUUCCCAAAUAGAAAGUUUUAGCUGUCUAUGCAGGUAUCCAUAAUUCCAUGGAAAAACUUACGGGAGUCUGCAGACUGUAAAACACUGAACAUACUGACAUACAUGCUGCGUGCAUAUCUUCAGAAUAGAAAAGCAUUACUAAAAAAACCUACAAAUGUUAAUACAAAAUCUUUCAGUCAUGGCUCUGUCUUUGAACUGGGAUUUUAUAGCAUAGAUCUCUGAAACUGUACAAGAUAACCAAAUGUGCACUUCAGAGCAGAUCAGAAAAACAGUAUCUAUCAACACAAUUCUGAUUUGGGGGAUGAAUUAAGUAUGCAAUUUUCUUCCUGCAGUUUCUCAUUCUCAGGAGUUGUACUCUCACUGAAGUUGUGAAACAAUGGGGAAACAUUAAUUCAUAUAAUUAGGGAUAUUGCAACUUUAUGCAUGCGAGAGAAUCAAUGUAAUUAGAGACCAGGAAGACAUCGGUUCUUGCAGAUGAAUGUUUCCAUCAACACACAGAGCAGGUAAUACCUCAUUCUGCCGUUAUCUACUGCGCAUGUGAUACUUCCAAGAGAUAUAUAUGAGUGUACUUUUGAUUUUACUGUUGUUUACACCUUUAGAUCUCUGGGAGUAGCUGUUGUUUUGUUUUCUUCUCAAAACCAGUUUGAUGCAGCUGACAAUUGAGCUUCUUUCUGCACUAGUGACUCAUUUUCCUUCUUUCUCUACUGAUUUCCCUUACCUCUAUCAUGCAAGAAAAAGGUCACACAGGUAGAAAACAUAGCUCCAGCAUCUGAUCAAAGUUGUAUUUUAGAUCACAACAUAACUCUUGCAGGAGAAAUCUUGUGUAACUCUCUUUUCACUAAAAAAAAUAUGGCCCCAUUAUAUUUAAAUUACUUUUAUUGGUUCCCAUUCUAUUUUGAGAGAUGUUGGCCCUGGUUGUUUGUGUCCAAAAUGCAAUUUAAUCAUCAGCCAGUGAAAGAUUAUGAUCUGUAUGUAUUCGUGGCAUUUGCAAAACAUGAUGAUAACUCUAUAUUGCCUCUUCUGGGAAGAAGGAAGAAAGCUCUCCUCUGGAGAUGGAUGUUUCCAACAACAUCUCCCUUCCCUGCCACCAAGUGGCUGCUUUGCAUCGCUGGAGGCAGUAGGAAUACAGCAGAUCACAACUCAAGGAGAACCUCUCAUCUUCUCAUCACUCUGCUUCAGUAAACUGUUUGGUGCUUUUAGCCCUUCAUAAUUCUUCAAGAAAAACUGUUUCAUUUUCUUUCCUAAAACUUGGUUGUUUUCCAUUGGAUGUAAAAACUAACAGGAAUUUUUCCUUAUUAGGUAAGUAUAAUGCUGUACUGAUUAAGCCAUUUGUUUAUAUUCAAUGAUAUUCAUCACUACCUGCAAUUAGAUCAUACCAAGUUCUCUGACCUUGACUUGAACAUGUUGCUUUGCCCUUUUCUCCCUUGGCUAACCAGUAUGUCUGUGGCAGAUGAGCGAGGAUCUGGAAGAAGGCAUUUCUUCCUUGGGUGGCAUAAAGUUUCUCCCUGGCAUCAUGUGAACAGCCACAUGGACAUUCUCAAAACUCACAGAAGUUGUCCUUCGAAGGAAAUCAGUUCAGCCUCCAGUCUUUUGCUUGGGCAGCUCAAGGCAAAAUAAUUUUCAGUCUAUAAACAGAGAGCUUGACCUACUCAUCCUAGCCAGUCUGUGUAAACAGAUCAGUUCAUCAGAGAGGUGAUGCAGGUUUCAGAAGCAAAAAGGGCACCCUCUGCAUGUGUGGGACAGAUACUGCCUUGCUGCCCUAUUCUCCUCUGAGCUUGUGACUUCAGGAUGCUUCCUCUGUCAGGUCAUCCCAGGCAUGGUAAGAGGAGAGAAAAGGGGAAUUGCUCCUCUGUGUCUAUGCAUCAGUAGGUACCAAGUGACUAAUGGCAGGGCAGGGAGUAACCUCAGGGUACUUGGCUUUCAGCAUAUUCAGAGGGAAAUGGUCAGAGAAGAUGGAAGAGGGGGAGUACCUGUUGCCAAAUGACUGUGAUUACAGUAGUGGCAAACGUCCAGGGAAACAGAGCCUCAGUUCUGUUUUAUCAGGAUCCUUUGUAAAUUGCUAUUAAGAAGUAUUUUUCAACAAUCUCAUUUUUAUUAGCCGUUUGUGCCCAUUAUAGUUUUCUAGUUGCUAGUUUGUUAUGGCUGUAACAUAAAUAAAGUUCUAAAAAUGUCUCAUUUGAGAAAUUGCAGAGCUGGGCAUGCCAUUUAGACACAGAUAAAAGCAGAUGUAAAGGGCUUUCUUUGUAAUGGGUCUAUUUUAUAUUUAAUACAACUGUCAUAUAAAGCUAUACUAGCAUUUAAAAUGCAGUUUCUAGGCCAUAAAACAAACACCAUUUCUAAUAUUGCUGUUGGCUUUCACCUAUGGGACACGGUUCAUUAAAAGCUCUCAAAGGUAUUUAUGUGGGACUGCCAUAUGAUUUACAAUCUAAGAGCCACCCCAGGCAACAAAUGUGUUUCUCCCCCACCUUUGGAACCAUUCUUCAGAAAUAUUAAUUAUUCCUGCAGCACCUCUCAGCCAGACAGGACUGGUACCAUCAGUGGUGUAGUGCUGGCGGGGACUGGCACACCUUUUAUAGCAGAGCUCCUUCCUCCUUCAGGGACAUUACACCUGAGAAUCACUUUUGCAUUUGGUUUUCUUCACUGAACUUUGUAAAACAAGUGUUACCACAAAAAAUAAAAAUAAAAAAUAAAUAAUAAAAAAAAUGUAGCUGUCUCAGGUAUCCGUGGGAAGACUGCCUGUGCUGAGCUUAUGAAUUGGCUUGUUUGCUUGUCUGAGUUGGGCUGAAUCACCUGCUGGAGAUUCCCACUUCUCUCCAUUGUCUGUAGAAAUAGGCAUCCAUAAGAGGUGGUGACAAUAAGGUGGAAAAACCUGAACCCAAGUUCUGCAUUACAGAUGCAGUGCAAAGAUGUGAGACAGCUCAGGGACACUGCCUCUGACUUGACACUCAGUUACAUCACAGGAUAAAAUACACUUUCCUACUAAACCUGUUGUUCAGGAACCUUUGGGCUUCUUUCCUAAAGCAGUAAGGAUACUCAGAUCGUCAUGUACCCCAGUGUCCUUCCCAGUGAGACCAGGAGCAUGUAGUUCCCUCUCUCUGAAUUUCUGCCAUUAAUAGCAUCUCCUAAAGUCCAAAGGAAGAAGCCCGAGGAAGGGGAAAAGCAACCAGCGCUCCACUCUGCAGAGUGCCUGGAUCAAUCCCUCCAUGGCUGUCAGCUGGCACACACUGAUCCUGUGAUGCUCUGCUUGCUGGGCCAAAGGGCAACAUUACUGUUAUUAGACAUGAAACCUCUCCUAAAAGUUCAUUAGAUCUCUGGCUCUGGCUCCUCAUAGCUUUGUUAGACUUCAACUGGAUGUACUGUUAUAUUCCAUGCAUCAAGCUGAUUAUUAUUUGUUUAAUAGAGCAAAAUAUUUCAGCCAUUUCUGAGCCAGGCUGUGUGGGGGAAAUAUAUUGUUUCACUGAUAUAUAUAUAUAUAUAUAUAUAUAUGAUAUAUAUAUAUAUAUAUAUUAAUGUUAGCAGCUUCUUCUCCAAAUACGCCCAUGCUUUGCAGAGGGCACUUCAGACUUGGCAAGGACAAGGUACUUUCUGCUAAUCAAGUGUCUACUAUUUUCUGUUUUGAUUCAAAUCUAACCAAAAUCUAUUGUUUUGAAAAAUUAGAUGAAGUGUGAUAAAUUGAGGUAUUGAGUUAAAUAUUUUAAAAUUAAACUUUAAUUUUUAGCUAAAUUUUUGAAAGAAACCUAUUCUUACUAGGUAUUCUCAACAUCCUCACAACCCAUGAAUGCACCAAAAUGGUCCCACACAGACCAGCUGACCCAUGGUUAUUGAAAAUCUACUGGGUUUACAUGAACAGAAAAGAUGAAUUUUGGUUCAGACAGCUGAAAGCUAGGCUCUAGGUAUAGCAUCUGGCUGAGUCUUUAAGGUGAUACCAACAGGUUUACCUACAGUUUACAUUUGGGUUGAGCAAUUCCAGUUAAAGGAACUGUGAUGUGACAGGAAGAAAAAAAGAAUGGAAAAAAUUAGGACUCAGACAUUUCACAUUGUGCCAUGAAGAUGAGUGAUGACUAGGAACUCCCAAUUUUCAUCUCCGGGCCUAAAUCUCCGUUAGGUUCUAUCGCUAAAUAGGACAAAAAGUGGCAAAAAGAACUCAGUAUUUUUGGAAUAACAAGCAAUCAAAACAAAAACAUCUCAGUUAGACAAUUUGCAAAUGAAUCCUGAGUGGAAAUACAACCUUAUCUUUCCUUAACAGUCUUCACUUUAUUCAGAUUUGGAUAUAAAUUUUUAAAAAUCCCACUCACUUAACAACAGACACUUCACAGCAGCCCAUGUGUUAGGAUCCAAGAUGUUCACAGCCUCCUUAUAUUCAAAUGACAAACUUAAAUGGUCAGAAUCACCAGCGGGAGAUAUGUUCCUUCCCUGGCUGCAGUAGGGGGUCCAUGCUGACCAGCCUCACCAAGCACCUCACUGAAGUGUGUGGGAUGAGUCCAGAUGGAGUGGCCAAUCUCCAGGAUUUUCAAACACACUGCAGCUGUGUUAGGGGGAAAAGCCUGGGCAAUGUUGCCCUCAAGGCUACUGAGCAUAAAGGGAGGACAGAAGGUUUUCCAGCCAUGGUCUCCAUGCUGCCACUUAACCUUCUGUCUUGGAAAGGACCUUCCAGUUCCAUCUCUUUACAAGUGGUAUUUAUAUUCCAGAAGUUCCUGAAAGCCUCUAUUCUACUACGCCAGGCAUUGAACAGAGAUUCAUAUAAUUCUGAAGCUGUAUUUGGAUAGGUAUCUUCAUCAUAAAUGAAGUUCUACUAUUGCAUGCACUAAUGCAGACUCAAGAAAGUUAAAUAUCCUAUCUUUCCAAAAUCAGACUACCCUUAAGGAUUGUAAAUGCCUGGAAGAGAAGAAUGUGCCAAAGUCUAGGCGUAUCCUGAAGUCACGUUGAAUUUAAUGCACUCUUAAGAACCUUGCACAAGAGGUCUAACACAGAGCUGCCUGGCAACCAGGAGAAAUCAUGUGGAGGACAGGGAGUGGUAAUUACUUCCUUAUGACCCAUCCCCAAACAGAGUGGAGCUCUGGCACAGGAGAGAGUCUGGCCUAUAGCGUGUAAAUAAAUAACAAGCAAAUCAAAUCAAAGCAAAGCCCAAGCUGUAUGAAGUGUUUAACACAGCAUGGCUAUAGUUUUACACUGUCUCAAGGCUACGAAAGGCAAGCCAUCAUACUUUGAUUCAGGUUCUCAAAAUAAUUUUAAGUGCCAUAAAUGAUGAUUUUUUAUUUAUUUUUAAAUGAAAUCUCCUAUCCUGGAGCUGCCUUUUGAAGAUAAAUAGAGCUAACAAAGAUAGUGCUUUUCAACAAAAACAUUUGUAAGUGACCCUUGCUACAUGGAGAAAUGUAGUUUGAGACAGAAAUAUAAUUCCUUUAAAAUUGGCAGGUUAAUCUUUAAAUUCAUUAGUAAACUUCAGAAGAGCCUGCAUCUUGGAUUUUUCUAAAAUCUACAAGAAAGACCAUUUUUUAUCUAAAGCAAUCGGAAAAACAAUUGCCAGGAGGAUCAAAUUAACAUUUAUAAAUGAGUGUUUUAAAGCAAUUACAAAUCAAAGCUGGCAUUUGUUCUAUGGAUUACAUGAAUUGCAUGAAUCACAUGCUAUAUUGACAAGUUACGUUCUCAGGAUACUGGAGCUAGGAUGUCUAACUUUCAUGGGCCAGCAAUGCACAAACCAGGUUCAGAAAACUGCUGUAAUCUGAUAAAAGAUGGCUGGGGAAAGAUGGCAGACAGCUCAGCUGGCAAAUGCCUGCUAUCCUUCAGUAUGAAAAGAGGAGUAUAUGUAAGAACCUGGGAAGUUUGGGUGGAAUGUUCGUCUAGAGUAGGAAAAAAAAAAAGUGAGUUUAAAUCUCUGCUACUUUAGUAAAAGUUACUGAGAAAAGUUGUCACGUUGUUUAAUUCUGGCUGAGAGGGGAUCUGAUGCUCUACUGUGUAUAUGAAUAUUUCUAACAUCCUGUGGAAAAAAAAUGGGAUUGAUUGAGUCUGGCUGGGAACACGCAAGAACCUAUCAUGAUGAGAAGGCAAAACUGAAUAAGUGAGAAGCUCAGCAGCAACACCCACUUACUCUAUGAGGGCAAGAAGAGGAAUCCUAGAUACUUCACCUAUAACUUUCAACUUUGACAGAACCUAUAUGUUGGGAUGUGCCACUGAAGACCAGGAAUUGUGGCUUCAGCUCCUCUUCUUGGGAGUUAGUUUUGGUGCCCAUCUGGCUUGUUUCUUUACUGUGAAAACUGGCACAGAGGGGACUUGACUAGAAUGGGACUGAUUAUGCCCAAGUUAUGCUGUUCCAACCAGGAAGCAAGAUGUCAAGGCAAGGACCCACUCCUCAAACUUUGAACAGAUCCAGUGUCACACAAACAUCAGCACCGAUCCGCAGAAAUAAAAAUGUCUGUCAACUGGUAGUUGAUAGACAUCAAAAUGACAACAAGUUAUUUAAUCUUGCUGCCUGGUGGCUGGACAAGGAAACAAUUCAACAUGAGAAAACUAUGAUCUGAAUUAGUCUGGGUACCACAUUUACUGAUCUUGACCCUAGUGAGACAAAGCUGAACAAUAUGUUUCCAGCCUCUGUCAGUAGUUAAGACAGUGGUGAGUACUGAAGCCUAUGUGAGACAAAUGACUGAAACUGAGGAGGGGAACAUCCCAACAGAGAGAACAGUGAAGCAACCUGUGUCUGCUCAGGGUAUUGCCAAUCAGUCUGCUGGGGAAGAUGACUUCAGGAUCCACAGAUCAUGAUGCCCAAAAGAGACCUCUCAGUCAGUCCCUCAGCUCUACCAGCCUAUGGGGAAACCAUAGGACCACUCUGGAAGGAAGGAACCUCAGGAGGGCUCUGGUUGCACCCUGAUGCUCAGAGAUGGCUCAGCUGUGACACAAACUGGAAUGAUCGGGUCUGCUCAGGCCACAGAAAGGACUAUCCCCUAGAAAAAGGAAGUGCAAAUCUCUCUCACCAGGUUAUGUAUAUGACCGUUCAUCUUCAUUCUGCUGGUGCUAAUUGCUGUCUAUUGGACCCUUCGCUACUGUGUACAGAGAACACAUGCUUCCCCUCGACACUGCCAUCGCUGCGGGUGCACUGGAUUGUUCUGCUGUCCUCAGAUAGGAACCUGCUGCUGCUGCCUGACCACAACAGCUGGGAAUAUUCUGCUUUUAAAAGCUUAUCUUGUUGAUACUUGAGUUGAGCUAUUACACAGUGGAACAAGCAAACAGAAUGAAUGGACCCUCUGCGGGCAACUUAUGGUAACAAAAACAGCUUCCAUGUGCUUUUGAAUGUGUCUCUUGUCUUGGAAUUGACAGUGAUGUUUAGCAUAGAUGUUUCCUGUGAAGAAAGCAUGAUGGUAUAGAGCCAGGAACAGGCUAAAAA